rnacentral:tRNA from 1 species
ACGUUUUUAGUUUAAUUGGACAAAACCCCAAUCUUCUAAAUUGGUAAUUAAAGGUUCAAAUCCUUUAAAACGUG